AGCAGCGUGGCUUAGUGGAUAGAGCACGGGGCUGAGAGUCAGAAGAAUUUGGGUUCUAAUCCCAACUCUGCCA
rnacentral:tRNA from 1 species